rnacentral:tRNA from 1 species
GCCGCGGCGAUAGCUCAGUAGGUAAAGCGUCAGGUGAGAAGAUGGCGUAUUACUUCUAGAGCUAUUAUCUGCGCGGGUCGAAUCCCGCCUGUGGCA